rnacentral:rRNA from 1 species
AUUGAACGCUGGCGGCAGGCUUAACACAUGCAAGUCGAGCGAGCGGCGGACGGGUGAGUAAUGCAUGGGGACUGCCCGAUAGCGGCGGAUAACUACUGGAAACCGUAGCUAAUACCGCAUACUAUCGGAUAACCCAUAUGGGAUUAGCUGGUAGGUGGGGUAAUGGCUCACCUAGGCGACGAUCCCUAGCUGGUCUGGGAGGAUGAUCAGCGACACUGGGGCUGGGACACGGCCCAGACUCCUACGGAGGCAGCAGUGGGGAAUAUUGCACAAUGGGCGCAAGCAUGAUGCAGCCAUGCCGCGUGUAUGAAGAAGGCCCUCGGGGUGUAAAGGACUUUCAGUCGGGAGGCGUUACCGGCAGAAGAAGCACCGGCUAACUCCGUGCCAGCAGCCGCGGUAAUAC